rnacentral:rRNA from 1 species
GAAAUAGAACCUGAAACCGUGUGCUUACAAGUAGUCAGAGCCCGUUAAUGGGUGAUGGCGUGCCUUUUGUAGAAUGAACCGGCGAGUUACGAUUUGAUGCAAGGUUAAGCAGUAAAUGUGGAGCCGUAGCGAAAGCGAGUCUGAAUAGGGCGUUUAGUAUUUGGUCGUAGACCCGAAACCAGGUGAUCUACCCUUGGUCAGGUUGAAGUUCAGGUAACACUGAAUGGAGGACCGAACCGACUUACGUUGAAAAGUGAGCGGAUGAACUGAGGGUAGCGGAGAAAUUCCAAUCGAACCUGGAGAUAGCUGGUUCUCUCCGAAAUAGCUUUAGGGCUAGCCUCAAGUGAUGAUUAUUGGAGGUAGAGCACUGUUUGGACGAGGGGCCCCUCUCGGGUUACCGAAUUCAGACAAACUCCGAAUGCCAAUUAAUUUAACUUGGGAGUCAGAACAUGGGUGAUAAGGUCCGUGUUCGAAAGGGAAACAGCCCAGACCACCAGCUAAGGUCCCAAAAUAUAUGUUAAGUGGAAAAGGAUGUGGCGUUGCCCAGACAACUAGGAUGUUGGCUUAGAAGCAGCCAUCAUUUAAAG